GGCAUAGCAGAAGCCUAAAACGCCAAACCCGGAGCUGCCGCGCCAGUCGUCGAGCAGCGCCCCGUUAGUUCUUGUUCCAGAGCUUCGUCCGACACGCCGGCUAGCGAGACGCUUCUGCCGCCCUCUUUCUCCCUCAGCUCUUCUUCCUUCGCUCAGUUUGUUGGGAACGUGAAAGGAGAAGGCCCGGGGACGCCCCAAAACCCCUUCUGUUCCUGCCCAUCGCAAGUGCCACUACUGCCAUGGGCCUCACCAUCUCCUCCCUUUUCUCCCGCCUCUUCGGCAAGAAGCAGAUGCGCAUUUUGAUGGUUGGAUUGGAUGCUGCUGGCAAGACGACCAUUCUGUAUAAACUGAAGUUAGGGGAGAUAGUCACCACCAUUACCUACCAUUGGUUUUAAUGUGGAAACAGUAGAAUAUAAGAACAUUUGUUUCACAGUAUGGGAUGUUGGUGGACAAGAUAAAAUUAGGCCUCUCUGGAGGCAUUACUUCCAAAACACCCAGGGUCUUAUUUUUGUGGUAAAUAGUAAUGAUCGUGAAAGAAUUCAGGAAGGAGCUGAAGAGCUGCAGAAAAUGCUUCAGGAAGAUGAGUUGCGAGAUGCAGUGUUGCUGCUUUUUGCGAAUAAACAGGAUUUGCCAAAUGCUAUGGCCAUCAGUGAAAUGACAGAUAAAUUAGGUCUUCAGUCUCUUUGUAACAGAACAUGGUAUGUUCAAGCCACUUGUGCUACACAAGGAACUGGUCUGUAUGAGGGACUUGACUGGCUGUCAAACGAGCUUUCAAAACGUUAAAUGAAACUGGAUAUCUAACCAAGGACACAUUUGAUAGAAUUGGUCUAGGCUUGUUACAACAAAAUUAGUUUGCAUCUUGGUUAUUAAACAGUAUCUGGGACUGGUUUGGGCAGAAUAUUACAGCGUUUAAACUUAUUUUGUUGCCAAUUAUUGUUGACCAAGUAUAAUAUUGCUAUUUAGCAAUAGGCUUGGUUUUAAAGAAAUUCUCCUUAACUUGGG